UGAUGUUACUCAGUUGGCAGAGCAUUGGGCUAGUAUUCCAAAGGUCGUAGGUUCGAUUCCCACGUGUCCG